UUACGGUGCCCAACUGCGCGC
rnacentral:sRNA from 1 species